rnacentral:rRNA from 1 species
UAGCGUAUGUUAAAGUUGUUGCGGCUAAAAAGCUCGUAGUUGGAUUUCUGUUGAAGACGCCCGGUCCGCUCUAUGAGCGUGCAUCUGGUGCGGCUUUGGCAUCCGUUCUGCAUACGUGUCUGCGCUUGAUUGCGUGGCGCGGAGGUAGGACCUUUUACUUUGAGGAAAUUAGAGUGUUCACGGCAGGCUUUCGCCUUGAAUAUAUUAGCAUGGAAUAAUAAUAUAGGAUCUUGGUUCUAUUUUGUUGGUUUCUAGGGCUGAGAUAAUGAUUAAUAGGGACAAUUGGGGGCAUUCGUAUUGCGGUGUC